GAUCCUCUCUGUUGUGAUUCAUCCCCCCCGGGCCCUACAGUUUCUCCUUCCUGACUCUUACAUUUCUUUGGAUGGCAUCAUUAUUAGACGGGGUUUCACCAUGUUGGCCAGGCUGGUCUUGAACCCUGGACCUUGUGAUCCACCCUCCUCAGCCUCCAAAAGUGCUAGGAUUACAGGCAUGAGCCACCGUGCCCGGCCCAGAGAGUCUUAAAUACCUGUCUCCUCCCAUAGUUAGGUGCCAAGCACUGUGGAUUCUGCCCCUCAGUGUCCAGACACCCAUUUUCCUUCCCACUGUUCCUUCCCCAUGGAGAAGCCUGUGGCUGGCUGACAGCAGAGAGAGAUGCUCAACUUGGAGAAGGUGUUACCUGGGCCAGGUGGGGAAGGUUUGUUUGCAGAGCAAAGAAGUGAAGCCUAUUCAACGUGAAAAAGAUGAGGAUGAAGACCUUUAUUAUGAUCCACUUCCAAGUAAUGAACACACUGGAGAAAGUCAGACAGUCAAAACAAUGUCCCAGACUCCGUGAAGUUCCUGGGUAGAGAAGGAGACAGACAUAUACCAUACCUAAUAAUUGGAUGUCCGAGAGAAUGAGAGAAUGGCAGAAAGAACUUUAGAGCAUGGGUAUGAUGGCUAGAGCUUGAGCAGCCAUUGUGGACAUCAGAUGAACUUGAAAGUGAAAACUAUGAGCUGAAUACGACAAAGC
rnacentral:antisense_RNA from 1 species